UACAGAGGGGGCAAGCGUUGUUCGGAAUUACUGGGCGUAAAGGGCGCGUAGGCGGCCCGCUAAGUCGAAACGUGAAAUCCCCGAGCUCAACUCGGGAACUGCGUCCGAUACUGGCGGGCUUGAAUCCGGGAGAGGGAUGCGGAAUUCCAGGUGUAGCGGUGAAAUGACGUAGAUAUCUGGAGGAACACCGGUGGCGAAGGCGGCAUCCUGGACCGGCAUUGACGCUGAGGCGCGAAAGCUAGGGGAGCAAACGGGG
rnacentral:rRNA from 1 species